UACUAGCUUUGAAACAUUGAGGAUUAUCAACACAUACGGAGCUUUUGGCAGAUUCCAGCUGAACAAGGUCAGACUUAUGCAUCAGAAGUUAAUGCCAUAUUUGGAGAGACUAGUGCUCUCACUGCUAGGAAUGUUGAGGAAAUGUUCAUUGAAAUAACUCGUAAGUUACCACCAGU